AUGAAAGGUAAUGAUUUCCUCUGUCCGUUGCUCUUCUAGCCACUAGGUGAAGAAAAAAGUGAUCUGACGUCGUUCGUUUCGAUUCGGCUGCUACUGGUUCUACUGUACGUACAUGCUACUUCAGUAGUUGCUUCAAGAAAGAAGCCACCGCGUAAACGGAUGACGAAGUGAGGAACACUGUUGCUGGAUUCUCUUUCCAUAUGCUUUGUCUUGGGCGAUGCCGAUGAUGAUGAUGAUAACGACCAUGGUAUAUAAUCAGUGCGUCUGCAUAGAAAAGCUUUGGUGGCAAGAGCUCGGUGUGGAAAAAGACCCGAAAAAGUGACAAAGGCCGACAUCAUCUAAUGGGGUAGCACCUCAAAGGAUCUUAUGCCAUGAGAAUUAUGUCAUUCCACGUGUCCGACAGACAAUGUCAAAUCCGGUUGGUUAUCCAAAAUGAUGA